GAUGAACGCUGGCGGCGUGCCUAACACAUGCAAGUCGAGCGAUCUUCUUCGGAAGAGAGCGGCGGACGGGUGAGUAACGCGUGGGUAACCUGCCCUGUACACACGGAUAACAUACCGAAAGGUAUGCUAAUACGAGAUAAUAUGCUUUUGUCGCAUGGUAGAAGUAUCAAAGCUCCGGCGGUACAGGAUGGACCCGCGUCUGAUUAGCUAGUUGGUAAGGUAACGGCUUACCAAGGCGACGAUCAGUAGCCGACCUGAGAGGGUGAUCGGCCACAUUGGAACUGAGACACGGUCCAAACUCCUACGGGAGGCAGCAGUGGGGAAUAUUGCACAAUGGGCGAAAGCCUGAUGCAGCAACGCCGCGUGAGCGAUGAAGGCCUUCGGGUCGUAAAGCUCUGUCCUCAAGGAAGAUAAUGACGGUACUUGAGGAGGAAG
rnacentral:rRNA from 1 species